rnacentral:lncRNA from 1 species
GUUAUACUGACUUACAAUUGUUCUGUUUGCUUUUUUUUAAAAAAGUGACAUGAAACACAAGUAAAAAUAAAUACGUCAUAGAAACAGCCAGUUGCCCAGUCUCUGGGGCAGGAGCGCCUGCCCUGCUGAGAGGAGGGAAGCCCAUGAUCACACCAGCAGCUGGAUCACCCAGCCACAGAUGCUCCUCGAAGCCAGGCACAGGUCCCAGGCCUCAGGGGCGUCCUGAGGAAAGAAGACGGAAAACCAAAGCCAGGUGCACAUGAGCACAGCACACAAACACACACACACACACUCACACACACACACACACACAGCUGGGCUGAGCUCUCUUCCAGGGAGGGUCCUGGGUCCAGUCACAGUAUGAGGUCCUCUCUCUUCUGAAUAUCAUCCCAGUAGUGGCAGCAGAGAGUACCCAAACCUCCCCAAGCCCUCUGCAUUGCAGACACUGCAGCCUGCUUGGCUACCCCUCCCCAACACACUAGAUUACUAUGUCAAAUAGACCUGCAAAAGGGAAAGGUGCACACUCAGGUCCCUGAAGAGCAAAGAAGUUGGACACUGCCUGCUCAAGAAGUUCAUUGUUAUAAGACUCAGGUAUUCAUAAAAGGCCUAGGGCUAAGCUAGUAGCACAGAAAAGCCGUUAAGGGGAUCACAGCAGAAUACACAGGGCAGAAGAGAAGAGUUGGCAGCAGGGGAACGGAGUCUCAAGGUGACCAAUAGAGAGCACAACAUUCUCAAAUAGUCCUUGAGGUGCUGAUUCCUGGGAGUAGUCAGCAGAGGGCCAGAACAUCUCCCAGGGGUCCUUUUGGGGAAGGAUGACUUCACUUAGUUUUAGGGGUGAAGAGCCACUGAGCUGGGUGCACAGAAGGCCAUGGCUCAGAAGGGAAAGACUGAUCUGAGAAAUCAAAAGGAAGUGGGGGCCAGGAGCAGUGGCUCACGCCUGUAAUCCCAUCACUGGGAGGCCGAGGAGGGUGGAUCACUUGAGGUCAGGAGUUCAAGGCCAGCCUGGCCAACGUGGUGAAACCCCGUCUCUACUAAAAAAUAUACAAAUUAGCUGGGCAUGGUGGUGUGCACCUGUAAUCCCAGCUACUUGGGAGGCUGAGGCAGGAGGAUCGCUUGAAACCGGGAGUGGAGGUUGCACGGAGCCAAGAUCACACCAUUGCACUCAAGCCUGGGUGACAGAGCAAGACUCUGUCUCAAAAAAAAAAAAAAGGAAGUGGGAAGCAGAAGGUAAUAUCCAGAACACUAGUAACAAGGAAUGUAAAGCCCCCAGAAGACCUUCCCCAUGGGAUGAGGACUCAAUUUCAGAGCAAUGCCAGGUUUGAAUAGACUCACACAGAGGGCCCUUCUCUGCUGACAACUUUGGGAGUGAUGGUCCUACCCAGGCCACUUAAGUUUGGCUAAGUGUUUCAACCAAUCUGCAAAACUGUACCCCAGCACUUUGCUUCCUGCUCCUGAAUUGAGAAAUUUCAUAUUUAGUUGUGAAUCACAAGCAUAUAGAGACUCCACACACUAAUUCCUAGGGAAGAGAGCUCCAAGGAUCACAAGCAUAUAGAGACUCCACACACUAAUUCCUAGGGAAGAGAGCUCCAAGGACCAGACAGAAUUAUCCUUAAAUCAGGAGAUGAUGAGAUAGAUGCCUAAAAAGCAUAACUCAAAGGGGUGUGGACUUCAUAGAUAUCCAAUCUAAAGAAAAUGAUAUGACCCAACAUGGUUCACUUCCUUUCUUAAAUAGCUACUUUGUCCCUGUUCAAUUUUUAUCUACAAAUAUAUUAAGAAAAGGAAAUCAAGCAUCACUAUAAAUGGUAAACCUCAAUCAUUAAGUAGUACUGUGUUCCCCAGGCUGAGAACUUGGCUAAACCAGAUGAAUGGGGCUUGAGAGGCCCUUGAAAACAUUCCAUGGAAGACAAUGGUAAGGGAAAACGCCUAGGCCUGAUUUUCUGCCCUCCCUCUUAUCACCAGCCACCCUGCCCCCCUCAGGCCUGGAUAAUGGGUGGAAGACACCACCAAGUGUUUAUGAUCAAAGAAACUAUAAAACAUGGUUCUUAGGCUCUGAGAUACUUCCUGCUUCCCUCACAAACAUGCUUAUGUUUGGUGUGCAUGCACAUUUGCCUAUCAGCACAUAUAAAGAGACAGUGGAAAAGUCAGAAGUGUUUUCAGGUUAUUUUCUUUAAAAAAAAAAAAAAAAAAAAAAAAAAAAAAAAAAAGCAAAAACCAUGGACCUGGUAGCACUCCAAUUUCCCAUGAUCCCACCCCCAACCCCUCUACACAAUAGAAACUGCACAUAUAAAAGAAAGCCUUCUCUAGUCAGGUCAGCCUCCCAGAAUGAUGGCCUCUGCUGAGUAGAAGCAAGACCCAGUCCCUGGAACACUGGAUAGACAGUAGGCAUGUGCUGCCUCUCAGAAUACCCAUUUACUUUCUGUCAACUUCAAAAGCCAAGCCCAUCCCUCCAGGGAAUGGUUUCAGUUCCCGGCUGGGAAGGUUUCCGGAUUCUUGGAGGCUAGUACAGUGAUUUCCUAGAAGUGAACACAGAAAUACUACCCCCUUCUCCCGACAACACACACACACAGACAUACACAUGCACACAUGCAUCUCUGGGAUCCCAGUGCUCCAGGGCCUGAGAGGCAUCAGUGUAACCCAGGUUCUGAGUGUGUCCCAUAAAUUGGAGAUUCAGUCUAGCUCACUCCUACUGCACCAGCCUCAACCUGAGAGCUCACUCCAACUGAGUCCCUUCACCAUCCAUUCUUGGGAUGCAUCUGAAAGAGAAAGCACUGGUUGGAACUGCUAUUUUUAAAUUAUUAAAAUAAUUUGCAUAGCUAAAUUGUAGAUCUAAGGCUUCCAUGAGUAGAAGAGUUAAGUGUCUGGCAGGGUGCUUAUGAAAACACAAAGCUUCUUAAGUUCCACUUUUGGUGUUAUUGGACAGCAGACAAACACACAUAUACACAUGCACCCCAUCCAUCAUCUCCUUGUCUCUUCUCUGAGGACAAUACCCCAGAGUCUGCUAAGGCCCUCCAAAGAUGGAAAUGGGCUGGUCAGAAGAGCUGUAGGAGCUACUACUGGGAUGACCUGACUAAGCUGCCUUCUGGGCUGGGAAGAGGCAGGUACACCACCUGCCCAGUAAGGAGGGAGCCAUGGGUAAGUGGUAAAGCUCUAAAGCCAAAGUUUGUUCAUCAUAAAGAACUGUCUGGCAAAGUGUUGGGGUGGGGGAUACAGAGGGGGCGGGGACACCAGUAGGAAGACAGCCAGUGUUUAUGCUUAAGGACUAGACGACCCUCCCCUGGCAAUGGCAAUAAGGGGAGACCCAGAAUGACUGGUGUGUUCUUUUAAGAUAAAACCCAGACUUAGGGCUCCUACAGAGAAAGGGCUCCUCCAUGUUCCUUCAAAGAUGGAGGCAGCAGACACCAGGCCUACAUGGACCACCUGAAGAUAUUUUCGAACAUGAAAUCAACAGUCCCUCAACCCAGCAACCGCCUAUCCACAGCUUCACUAUUCAGCAUAGAGAGCCAACAUCUAACAUCAUCCCAGGAGGACACAGCUCCAAAUCUGGGGUCUCUUACUUCCCAAUUGCAAACUCCAUGAUCACAACUUUCGAUUUCUGUGGAAUGAGUCCCACCCUCCACUAACUAUCCAGUCUCAGGAUUCCCUGAUCUUCCUGAAAAGCCAUCUCUCAAAAAUAUAGUUGUUUAAUCCAAACCUUGGUCAAACCUAACUCUUCCCCUGGUCAAUUUACCAUCCAUCCAGGAUUGUUUUUCACCAGUGGCUAUAGGGUCUGGGAUAUCUUAAAACUUCCCUUUCUAUCACCUACCCUCCUUACCCCUAACCUCCCCCCACCCCCAAAUAAACAAGACACAUGAAAAGUCCAAGUAAUAAAUAAUUGCCCAUAAGAAAUAAAUUAACAUGGAGCUCUCUAAAGGGGAAGGAAAGGAACAGAAAAGACUACCAGGAUAGGCAGCUGGGGGCUCAGUUCUACCCUGGUGAAAAAUGUAUUUUCCAGCCACAACUCUGCGACCUUUCAUUCACGUACUGCAGUGCUUCUCCCUCCCAGCCUCUGCACACAGACAACCUUCCAAGCUGGAAAGGGAGAGCUGCUCAGAGAUAGCCACCGGGGUUAAGAGACAUAGAUUGGUAAUGCCCAUUUUCUCUCAUGAAUUUCCCCAAAUUCUCACACAAAUGUGGCUCUGAAUACCAGGGACUUGAGUUAGCUGGGCCUUCUCUUCACCCAUCCCGAAGGAAACUUGUUAUUUCCAUGGCUCUUCUGGGCUCACCCUGAUGUUCACACUAGGUGCCAUGAACCACCAAACUGACUUCCAUUUAAAGAAAGAUAAAUUCAUUUUUCAGUUUCCCUCUUAGUUCUUCCCUCCCUCCCCUCCCACCUUCACCCCUGCUCUGUUCCAUACAUACACAUACAAAAUAAACAUACACACACACACUCACAAACACACAUACCUGGUCAGCUUCCUUCCCACCCCCUAAAAAGACCCCACUUCACAUGGGAUCACAGUCUGCUCCCCCUACCCACCCUCCUUCUCUCACUCAUUCUCCCUUCCUUCACUCCCCUCCCCAGGCCAAGCUAAGUCACCUAGUAAGGCAGCUCUCUUGGGAAAGAAUGUUCCCAAAGACAGAAAUGGGAUGUGCGCUUCUACACUCAGAUGGGCGAGCAAGCAAGCAGACAGCAUAAGCAAGGCAGGAAGGAAAAGAGGCUGCACUGCCCCUCCAUCCCUGUUUUGGGUCCCUGAUUUCCCGCUAUUGCUGCUGUGUUGGACUUUUUUUUUUUUUUUUUUUUUUUUGCCUCUUUUGUUAAACAGCAACAGAGCUCUGCCACUUUGGCCAACCACCCUCCUUUGUCCUCUUCCUUUUCCCUCCUGCCAAGUGUCC